GGACCCGCACAAGUAGUGGAGCAUGUGGUUUAAUUCGAAGAUACGCGCAGAACCUUACCAACACUUGACAUGUUCGUCGCGACUUUAAGAGAUUAAAGUUUUCGGUUCGGCCGGACGAAACACAGGUGCUGCAUGGCUGUCGUCAGCUCGUGUCGUGAGAUGUUGGGUUAAGUCCCGCAACGAGCGCAACCCUCACUUUUAGUUGCCAUCAUUUAGUUGGGCACUCUAGAGAGACUGCCAGUGAUAAGCUGGAGGAAGGUGGGGAUGGACGUCAAGUCCUCAUGGCCCUUACGUGUUGGGCUACACACGUGCUACAAUGGUAUCUACAACAGGAAGCAAAAACGGCGACGUU
rnacentral:rRNA from 1 species